GACGAACGCUGGCGGCGUGCUUAACACAUGCAAGUCGAACGGAAAGGCCUCUUUCGGGGGGUACUCGAGUGGCGAACGGGUGAGUAACACGUGAGUAACCUGCCCUUGACUUUGGGAUAACUUCAGGAAACUGGGGCUAAUACCGGAUAGGAGCUCCUGCUGCAUGGUGGGGGUUGGAAAGUUUCGGCGGUUGGGGAUGGACUCGCGGCUUAUCAGCUUGUUGGUGGGGUAGUGGCUUACCAAGGCUUUGACGGGUAGCCGGCCUGAGAGGGUGACCGGCCACAGUGGGACUGAGAUACGGCCCAGACUCCUACGGGAGGCAGCAGUGGGGAAGAUUGCACAAUGGGUGGAAGCCUGAUGCAGCAACGCCGUGUGCGGGAGGACGGCCUUCGGGUUGUAAACCGCUUUCGCUCAUGACGAAGCUUUGUGUGACGGUAGUGGGUAAAGAAGCACCGGCUAACUACGUG
rnacentral:rRNA from 1 species